AUUGAACGCUGGCGGCAGGCUUAACACAUGCAAGUCGAGCGGAGCGGCGGCCGGGUACGGAAGGCCUAGGUAUCUGCCAGUGAGUGAGGGAUAACGUCCGGAACGGGGCGCUGAUGCUGCUUACUUUCAGCUGACCCUAGGUCGGAUUUGCUAGUUGGUGGGGUAAAGGCCUACCAAGGCGACGAUCCGUAACUGGUCUGAGAGGAUGAUCAGGCACACUGGAACGGAGACACGGUCCAGACUCCUACGGGAGGCAGCAGUGGGGAAUAUUGGACAAUGGGCGAAAGCCUGAUCCAGCCAUGCCGCGUGUGUGAAGAAGGUCUUCGGAUUGUAAAGCACUUUAAGUGGGGAGGCGUUACCAACAGAAGAAGCACCGGCUAACUUCGUGCCAGCAGCCGCGGUAAUUC
rnacentral:rRNA from 1 species